CCUACGGGUGGCAGCAGUGGGGAAUAUUGGACAAUGGGCGAAAGCCUGAUCCAGCCAUGCCGCGUGUGUGAAGAAGGCCUUCGGGUUGUAAAGCACUUUCAGUGGGGAAGAAAGCCUUGGGGCUAAUACCCUCGAGGAAGGACAUCACCCACAGAAGAAGCACCGGCUAACUCCGUGCCAGCAGCCGCGGUAAUACGGAGGGUGCGAGCGUUAAUCGGAAUUACUGGGCGUAAAGCGCGCGUAGGCGGUCUGAUAAGCCGGUUGUGAAAGCCCCGGGCUCAACCUGGGAACGGCAUCCGGAACUGUCAGGCUAGAGUGCAGGAGAGGAAGGUAGAAUUCCCGGUGUAGCGGUGAAAUGCGUAGAGAUCGGGAGGAAUACCAGUGGCGAAGGCGGCCUUCUGGACUGACACUGACGCUGAGAUGCGAAAGCGUGGGUAGCAAACAGGAUUAGAUACCCCAGUAGUC
rnacentral:rRNA from 1 species